rnacentral:lncRNA from 1 species
UGAGAAUAUUGGUUGUGUCUUAGCUCAGGCUGCUAUAACAAAAUGCCAUAAGCUGGAUAACUUAACAACAGAAAUUUAUUUCUCACAGUAUUUCUCUGAAAGUUGAAGUCUGAGAUCAAGGUGCCAGUAUGGUUGGGUUCUGGUGAGGGCCCUCUUUUAGGCUGCAGACUACUGAUAUCUCGUUUUAUCCCCACAGGAUGGAAAGAGAGCAGGAGAGUAAUCUGGGGGUCCCUUUUUUAAGGGCACUAAUCUCAUUCAUGAGGCCUCCACCGUCAUUGUCUAAUGACCCCGUCCAUAGGCCCCACCUCUUAAUAUCACCCUGAGAUUAGAUUUCAACAUAUGUGUUUGAGGAGGACACACACAUUCAGUAUUUAACAUUCUGCUCCUGGCCCUCCACAAUUCAUGUCUUCACAUGCAGAAUACAUUAUUUCCAUCCCAGUAGCCUCAAAAGUCUUAACUUGUUCUAGCAUUGGUUCUCAAGUCUGAAGUCCAAAGUCUUAUCUAACUAUCAUCUAAAUCAGAUAUGAGUGAUUCUUAAGGUAUCAUUCAUUCAGAGACAGAACUCCUCUCCAGCUAUGAACAUGUAAAACCAACCUAAUAAGUUAUGUGCUUCCAAACUACAGUAGUGGGACAGAUGUAGAAUAGAUAUCCCCAUUUCAGAAGCAAAGGAAUAGGAAAGAAGAAAAGAGUGAUAGCUUUUAAGUAAGUCCAGAACCUAGCAAGUCAAACUCCAUAUCUCAGGGCUGGAGAAUAAUCCUCUGGUGCUUGAUGCUGUGCACUCCAGGCCCACUGGGGGCAGAGGUCCCAUUUUCCAGACCCAGUAGAGUUGAGAUAUUGCUCUGCACCUCUGCCAAAUUGGGAUCUCAAUCCCAGGGUUCUGCUGGGCAGGCACCAAACCUCCACAGCUCCUCCCAGUCCUACCCCCAUGCCUUUGAUUGGAGGUAAUCUAACUUGUUGAAAAUCAGGCAAUUCUUCCUCCACCCUUUGCAACAUAGGAUGAAGCCCUGAUGAUCUCUGAAUCAUUUUUUUGUAGUCAUUCUUCCCUUGUCUUUAAGAAUAGAUCAUGUUUGCAGCUGAAAAGUUUUAUGGUCUUCCCUGUAAAAUCCAAAAAAUCUGACAACAUUUCUUCAUUCCUUCCCAUUCAGUUCAAACUGGCAGUUUUCCUGCUGAGGUAGCUAAUUCAGUCCAUGCUUCACACCAUACUAAUCUCCUUAUCAAAUGGUGGCUUGGUAAUACUCUUAGUGUUCUCUUUUAAACAUGCUUUCUCAUUUUGUGCAAUAUGGAUUGGCUGAGAAUUUUCCAAGCUCAUAAGUUCUAGUUUCUUGUUGUUUGAUAAGUCCCUCUUCACAUCAUUUCUCUCUUCUCACAUUUUACUAAACAGUCAGGAGGAACAAAGCCGUGCCUUCAGUACUUAGCUGAGAAAUAUCCUCAGCUAAAUAGCCAACUUCAUUGCUCACAAGUCCCAACUUCCACAAAACACUAAUAAUAUGAACACAAUUCACCCAAGUUGUUGGCCGCUUAAUAACAAGGAUUGCCUGUUCUCCAUUGCACAAGAUGGAGAAAAGGACAGUGAAAUUUAGUGUUAAUGAAGAUAAUAACAUGUUUUUACUUCAGUCUGAGAAUUCAUCAAAAUGGCCUUUACUAUCCAUAUUUCUACUAACAUUCAGUCCAUGAUUACAUAUGUAUUCUUUAAGAAGAUGGAAGCUUUCUCUACAGCUCUUCUCUUCCCUUUCUGAGCCCUAACCAAAUCACCUUUAAAAGUCCCUUCAUGACAAUCUUGGCUUCUUCUAGAUGUACUUCACAACUCUUGGUUAGUUCCAAAGCUGCUUUCACAUAUUUAGGUAUUUGUUAUAGCAGCACUCCACUUCUCAGUACCAAUUUCUCUCUUAGUUUGGGCUGCUAUAAUAAAAUACCAUAUGUAGGGUGGCUUAUCAAUAACAGACAUUUAUUUCUCACAGUUCUGGGGGCUGGAAAGUUCAAGAUCAAGGUGAUUGCCUAUUUGGUGUCUGGUGAGGGCCUGCUGCCUGGUUGUAGAUGACUAUCUUCUUUCCGUGUCCUCACAUGGAGAGAAGAAGAACCAACUCUCUGUCCUCUUCCUAUAAGAGCACUAAUCCCAUUCAUGAAGGCUCUGCUCUUGUGACCUAAUUACCUCUGAAAGGCCCCACCUCCAAAUAUCAUUAUAUUUGGCCCCAUCUCCAAAUAUCAUUACAUUUGGGAUUACAUUUCAACAUAUGAAUUUGAGGGGGACAUAAACAUUCAGUCCAUAACAGGUUGUUUCCAAUUUAAGGUGUUAAAUAUACUGUAAUUAGUGUCUUCAAAUAAAGGUUUGAGUUUCUCCAGUGUAUAAACAUAAAAAUGGAAUUUGUCAUAGGUUAUGUGUAUUGUGAACUACAUGUAGUCAAUAUUGUUCUUCAAAGUGAUUUCUCAAUGUAUAUUCCUACCAUUAGUGUGAGGAGUUUUUAAUUUACCCAAGUACUCUUCCAAAAUUGAUAUUGUAUGACUUUUUAACAGUGGAAAAUUUGAAUGUGGAAUACUUUUUUAUCCACAUUUCUCUGAUUAAUAGUUCUGAGCAUCUAUUCAUUUAAUUUGGAGUAUUUAUAUUUUCCUCUUUUAUGACCCGCCUGCAAAUUUGUUUGCCAAUUUUUCUAUUAGGUUUUUAUGUUGUUAAAUUGCAAUGUGUUACUUAUUAUUACGGAUAAUAUUCCUUUGUAUCUUCCAGUAUGAUUCUCUAUUUUUCUUGUUUCUAUUUUAUUGUUUCCUUAUUUGCUCAAAACUUUUUAAUAAAUUAAACUAUAUAAAAAAAAGCUUUUCCUUUUGAGCUUGAUCUUAUAGUAAGAAAUCCUUUUCUGCUCUGAAGCUAUAGUCUACGUUUUUAUGACAGUUUUAGAAUUUGUAACAUCUAUUUUUGUAUUCAUGUUUUGAGUUUAUUUUUGCAUGUAUUAUCACUUGGAGGUGUAAUUUUUUAUAUGUAAGUGCAAAUAUCUCAACACCAUUUUUGAGUAGUCUGUCAUUCUUGAAUGAUAAAGUUGCAUACUCUAAUUUAAGCCAGGACUGCAUAAAUGCCUGAAGGUUACUCAGCUCUCUGAGAGUUUUAUUAUUUUGAUCUACAUAUCUGUUCCCAUGCCAUUGCCUAAUUAUUAUGACUUCUAUAUUAUUGAUAGAACAAACACCCCCACUUAUUUUUAUUUUCAGACAUGUCUUCAGUCUUCCAUGUAAGUUUUAGAAUUCAUUUGUUAAGUUCCAUGAAUGAUUGAAUUAGAAUUUUUACUGUGAUCACAUUGAAUUUAU